rnacentral:lncRNA from 1 species
ACGAGUUCUCUCCCCUGGAGGCCCAGCCCUCACCCACAGCCUCCUCCAGCCCAGCUGGAGAUGGAAACUUUUGGAAAAUGUACAGGCAGCGCAGUGUGGGGUAGUUGCAAUGCAGUGUGGCACUUUCUGCAUUCCUGAGGAGGCCUUAGGAAACUUACAAUCAUGGCAGACGGCCAAGGGGAAGCAAGGCACCUUCUUCACAGAGAGGCAGGACAGAAAGGAAUUGGAAGAGUUCAGGAUGUCUCCCACAAUAAUAGAUGUCAAGUGAAACAGAAGGAAAACAACAUAAAAGAAAAGAUACAAAAUAAAGAUUUUCUAUUCUUGCAUGGAUGCAAGGAGCAGAGUUCUCAGUGUUUCAGCUAUUAGUUGCUAAGGAACAAAAUUCCCCAAAACUUACAGGAGGAAAACAACCAUCAUUUUAUUAUUAUCAUGGAUUUUGUGGGUUGGGAAUUUGGGCAGGGCACUGUAGAGUUGGCUUGUCUCUGUUCUCUGUUCCACAAUGAGUAAAAGACUUGAAUGACUGCAAUCUUCUAGAAGCUUCUUCACUCACAUCUCUGGUGCCUGAGCUCGGCUGGGACUGCUGAUCAGAGUGUUUCCACACAGCCUCCCCAUGUGGCGUGGGCUUCCUCAGAGCAUGGCAGCUUCAGAGGCAUUGGUCAUUUUACCAGGCAGUCAGGACUUCAAGAGCAAAUG